rnacentral:rRNA from 1 species
CUUCCAGACUCCUACGGGAGGCAGCAGUGGGGAAUAUUGCACAAUGGGGGAAGCCCUGAUGCAGCGACGCCGCGUGAGUGAAGAAGUAUUUCGGUAUGUAAAGCUCUAUCAGCAGGGAAGAUAAUGACGGUACCUGAGUAAGAAGCCCCGGCUAACUACGUGCCAGCAGCCGCGGUAAUACGUAGGGGGCAAGCGUUAUCCGGAUUUACUGGGUGUAAAGGGAGCGUAGACGGCAUGGCAAGUCUGAAGUGAAAGCCCGGGGCUCAACCGCGGGACUGCUUUGGAAGCUGUUAAGCUGGAGUGCAGGAGAGGUAAGUGGAAUUCCUAGUGUAGCGGUGAAAUGCGUAGAUAUUAGGAGGAACACCAGUGGCGAAGGCGGCUUACUGGACUGUAACUGACGUUGAGGCUCGAAAGCGUGGGGAGCAAACAGGAUUAGAUACCCG